AACAGGACAUGAGUGUAAUGCGCACAAAUAUUAUGGAUGUGUGUGAGCCGUAUAUUUUUAUUCUUCCCAUAAUUUUGUCUAGAUGCGAUUUUUGAAAAAAUAGAUCUGAUAUUGAUUUCAAUAGUGUUCCAUACCGAACCAAAGGAGAACACGAUAUUAUUGAUCUCGAAUUUGCUGAGGGUCUUCCUGAACAAAUUGAAGGUAAGUUUACAUUGUUUAUAUUUUUUCAGUUUUCCAUAUAUCAUGAAGUUUGUUUUGAUUUGUUUUAUAUCUGUAUUGUUUUUUCAGCGAUUGCGGAAUGUUUACAAUUUCUUUUGCGAAACAUUUUCUGAAAUGCCAAAACCAUUUCCAUUCCUUCAAUACCGCAAGAAAUUAUGUGUCAACUUGUUUA
rnacentral:lncRNA from 1 species